GCAGGUGUUGCCUAGCGGUACGGCGCCGGCCUUGAGAGCCGGUUCUCAUUCGAGACCGUGGGUUCGAAUCCCUCCACCUGCGCCA
rnacentral:tRNA from 1 species